AUUGAACGCUGGCGGCAUGCUUUACACAUGCAAGUCGAACGGUAACAGGCCGCAAGGUGCUGACGAGUGGCGAACGGGUGAGUAAUGCAUCGGAACGUGCCCAGUCGUGGGGGUUAACUACUCGAAAGAGUAGCUAAUACCGCAUACGACCUAUGGCUGAAAGCGGGGGACCGUAAGGCCUCGCGCGAUUGGAGCGGCCGAUGUCAGAUUAGGUAGUUGGUGGGGUAAAGGCUCACCAAGCCAACGAUCUGUAGCUGGUCUGAGAGGACGACCAGCCACACUGGGACUGAGACACGGCCCAGACUCCUACGGGAGGCAGCAGUGGGGAAUUUUGGACAAUGGGCGCAAGCCUGAUCCAGCAAUGCCGCGUGCAGGAAGAAGGCCUUCGGGUUGUAAACUGCUUUUGUACGGAACGAAACGGCUCUGGUUAAUACCCGGGGCUAAUGACGGUACCGUAAGAAUAAGCACCGGCUAACUACGUG
rnacentral:rRNA from 1 species